rnacentral:rRNA from 1 species
GACGAACGCUGGCGGCGUGCUUAACACAUGCAAGUCGAACGGAAAGGCCCCUUUGGGGGUGCUCGCGUGGCGAACGGGCGGGUAACACGUGAGUAACCUGCCCUUGACUUCGGGUUAACUUCAUUAAACUGGGGCUAAUACCUGCUAGGAAUCCUUUCCGCAUGCAGGGGGUUGGAAAGCUUCGGCGGUUUGGGAUGGACUCGCGGCUUACUAGCUUGUUGGUUGGGUAGUGGCUUACCUACGCUUUGACUGGUAGCCGGCCUGAGAGGGCGAACGGCCAAAUUGGGACUGAGAUACGGGCCAGACGCCUACGGGAGGGAGGAGUGGGGAAUAUUGGACCAUGGGCGGGAGCCUGAAGCAGCAACGCCGCGGGCGGGGAGACGGCCUUCCGGUUGGUAACCGGUUUCAGCAGGGGCGGAGCUUGGGGUGACGGUACCGGCAGAAGAAGCACCGGCUAACUACGUG